GGUACCUACGGGGGGCAGCAGUGGGGAAUAUUGGGCAAUGGGCGCAAGCCUGACCCAGCAACGCCGCGUGAAGGAAGAAGGCUUUCGGGUUGUAAACUUCUUUUAUCAGGGACGAAGCAAGUGACGGUACCUGAUGAAUAAGCCACGGCUAACUACGUGCCAGCAGCCGCGGUAAUACGUAGGUGGCAAGCGUUAUCCGGAUUUACUGGGUGUAAAGGGCGUGUAGGCGGGAGUGCAAGUCAGAUGUGAAAACUAUGGGCUCAACCCAUAGCCUGCAUUUGAAACUGUACUUCU
rnacentral:rRNA from 1 species